rnacentral:lncRNA from 1 species
AAUAAUAUCACUUAUUUUGACACAAUACAUUAUUAUGUAGAUGGUUUUUAUUGUUAUAAAUGUUCCCUGUUCAAUAUAUUGAUAUUCAAUUUAAUUUACAAUAAGUAAACAAAUGUAUGUUGUUAUUUUCAUGAGAUUGAUUGAUUGUUGUUUGGUUAAUGUCAAGUGGCAAAUAUUUCAUGCAAAUUCAGGAAGAGUAUUGAAACGAGAGGCUCUUUAAUUGGUAAAUACUUUUAUUCAAUUGUAACAAUAGUUAAUAUGAAAAAUCGUACAUUUUAGUAACGUGUCAGGAAGAGGAAAUUCAGCUUAAAACCAAAUUUGGAAAUAAAUUUCACAGGACUGGUGCAAAAUGUAGAGCUGAAUGUUUGGUUUUUAUGUUUUUUUUUUUUUUUUUUUAUAAAAGUCUCUUCAUAUAUAUUUAGUCUGACAAUACUCAGUCAUUGUUUUUUAUUCCAUCAUUUAGCAUUCGUAUCUCUUUUUCACAUUAGAUUAUUUUUUUUACUAUAAUGGCAUUUGACUGUAUGGAGCUGACUGUUAAAGUCUAUAUGUUCUUAAACCUCAAUCUAAUUGAAGUUUUAUUAAUUUUCGUAACCAAUCUUACAAAAAAAAAGUCAUGUUAUUGUCUGAGAACUUCUGAGGCAGAAAUGAAAAAUAAUGCUUUACUAUUCGGACUUGUCCUAUGGCAGCCAGACAAGUUAAUAUAGGAUAAUGUCUUUUUCUAAUCAAAUCGUGUAAAUUUCAUUACGUGAAAAAAAUAACUCGGUAUUCAGCUUCUAAUCCAGUUGUCUACUUUCUUAUAACCAUAAGUAACAAAACGAAAGUGAAUAAGCGAUGAAAAACACCUUAUUUUGUAAAUAACCGAUGUUCUAAAACCCAGCUAAUCAGGUUUAUGACCCCACCGUACACUACAACCAACAAAGGAAUCACAACAAUAUUUACAAGAUUUAAUCAAUCAAUC